GGCUGAGCCCGGGGUCUUGCCAGUCAUCCCAGAGGCAUCUUCCUCUGGCUCAGAGGCCCACUCUGACAUCCUGGGGGUUCCACCCAAGGGCCAGGAGGGGACUGCCCAGAAAGGGGAACAGAAAGGGAGGAAGCCACCCAGAACAGCCUAACAAGCACCACUGUCAUCGCCUUCAGAGUCAAACACCUCUGAACCCCAGUGUCAUGGAGCCCUGGGGUCUUCAUGUCCCUGGAAUCUGAGAAUCAGGCACCUGGUGCCAGGAAGAGACUCUGAGGCCAUCGCGGGCCACUUCAGGCUCCAGACUGGACUCCCUGUCCCCCACAGCCCUAAUGGGGGACUAGGGGUCCCUGAGUCUUGAAAUUUCCUUGAGUGAGCGUCCGGAAACAUAGUCCUAGAUGGUACCAGAAGUCCUAGAACAGCGCUGUGCACAGCGCUUGCGUCGAUGGGGGAGAUGCUCCCCACCCCGGACGGCGGCCAGCCACUUGCCCACAGGCUCCCGAGCAUUUGAAAUGGGGCUGGUGAAACGGAGGAGGAGCUGAGUCUUUAAAGAUGAAGGAUCUGAGGCACGGCGCCCCCCGGGGGAAGUGAAUGCUCCACAGAGGACUCAGAUCGUGUGUUGCUAUGUGCCUCCACUCCCACGGGACCCCAGAGACGGUGACCACGGGCUCCGGUGAGCUGAGUCGCAGAAAGGCCAGGCAGCCAUGGG